CUGCCCUAGACAAAGGAUGCACUUGGAUCCCCACCACACCUAUAACCACGCUUUGAAGGAUCUGCCAAGCUCACUUUUAAUCAUGAGAAAGAAAUUACCCACAUGGAGACAGCAGAAAAUGAGAAAGUAGAGCUCGUGCUGCGAAUAAUUCCAGUGAGUGCCAAGGGGCUAGUUGAGGAAUGGCUUCAUGAGG
ensembl:misc_RNA